CUCCCGCCGGCGACCGGCGCACGGGUGAGUAACACGUAUGAAACCUGCCCGUAGCAGGGGGAUAAGCGGAAGAAAUUCCGUCUAAUACCGCGUAACAACCCGAGGAGGCAUCUCCUCGGGUUUAAAGGAAGCGAUUCCGGCUUACGGAUGGUCAUGCGUCGCAUUAGCUAGUUGGCGGGGUAACGGCCCACCAAGGCGACGAUGCGUAGGGGUUCUGAGAGGAAGGUCCCCCACCACUGGUACUGAGACACGGACCAGACUCCUACGGGAGGCAGCAG
rnacentral:rRNA from 1 species